ensembl:lncRNA
CCUACACCGACGAGUCUCUGACAAAUUUUGAGUUGACGUUUAUUCGCGUGACUCAUGGCUGCACUUUUUUCUCAACAUCGGAGACAAGUGAUGUUGUUCAGCGAGGUCUCCUCCUGGCACGGGUUGUUAAUUUAUUGCCAUAGACAACUCAUUCUCACCCCGCCUCGCUGGCCAAGCUGCAGCCACGCUCUGUGUCACCACCACUCCUAGCCAAGUGUCAUGUGAUCUAAAAAAUACCUGGCACUGUGAAAUGGCUUUCUUUUUUCCACAAACCGCAACCAAGCGGCCCCGGUACCAUCCUGAGAGAACGACCGGGUAAAGACAACGUUCACACGGAAGAACAUGGGAAUACGGCUCAACUGUCGGGCACACAAAACACGUCUGAGCAAUACGCUAAGAGGAGAAAUAUGGAAAGUACUAUUGAUCAGCACCUGCAAAGCUAACCACCAGGGAUGUUCUGGGAGGUUUCUGCGAGCUUGGCUUGAGAGUGAACAUGAUGAGAUGGUAGUUAACCGAUGUUGGCUGGCUCCCUACUGGCAGAGGGAGGCGUCUCUCCCUGGCCUGGCCGUCCCCAGCUGAGAGGCAGUGAGCAGGCACAGAGGACACCUGGCUAAAGCAGCUGAUGUAAUUGACCAUGGUUUGUGAAGCCCAAGUGGCACCCUGGCCCUGACAAGUGCACUCCGUUUGACAAGGGCCCGUAGAGCUCCAGGCGAAAGUAGUGCGAUACAUAGUAAAUAGGGUGACAUUUGGGAUGCAGGGUAUGUAUGUGAUUAAAUUAAUGGUUGUGCUGCUCUGAGUAGUUUGGAGGUAUUUUCUUUUUUAUCUUCCUGUUGUUGGUUUUUGCAUGUUGUUUGCAUUCUUUUAAGCAUGUGAAGCAUUGUAAGUUAUUCUACUGCUAAAGUGUUUUCCC